rnacentral:lncRNA from 1 species
UUUGAAGAAAAAAUGUUGAACUCUAACAUAUUUGUUACCUCUUGUUCAGUUAGUUUAAGGUGGUUGGUUUGUGGCUUCCUGGCUGGUCCUCCACAUCACACCAAAUCCAAGGAAGGGUUAGUUGUGUCCAACAAGGAUAUAGAGAGUGACAUCAUGGAGGAAACAAAGAGUCAGGAAAUUGAGAGUUUAAAGGAAGAGAAUUUGAGAUUGAGACAACAAAUGAUGGAAAUGUACCGAGCUGGGGCCAGUGGGCUGCCUCCAC